rnacentral:rRNA from 1 species
GACGAACGCUGGCGGCGUGCCUAAUACAUGCAAGUCGAGCGAAUCAAUGGGAGCUUGCUCCCUGAGAUUAGCGGCGGACGGGUGAGUAACACGUGGGUAACCUGCCUGUAAGACUGGGAUAACUUCGGGAAACCGGAGCUAAUACCGGAUACUUUCUUUUCUCGCAUGAGGGAAGAUGGAAAGAUGGUUCUGCUAUCACUUACAGAUGGAACCGCGGCGCAUUAGCUAGUUGGUGAGGUAACGGCUCACCAAGGCAACGAUGCGUAGCCGACCUGAGAGGGUGAUCGGCCACACUGGGACUGAGACACGGCCCAGACUCCUACGGGAGGCAGCAGUAGGGAAUCUUCCGCAAUGGACGAAAGUCUGACGGAGCAACGCCGCGUGAGCGAAGAAGGCCUUCGGGUCGUAAAGCUCUGUUGUUAGGGAAGAACAAGUACGAGAGUAACUGCUCGUACCUUGACGGUACCUAACCAGAAAGCCACGGCUAACUACGUGCCAGCCGCCGCUGUAACAC